rnacentral:tRNA from 1 species
GGAUGCGUUGGGCAGUGUAGUGAGCCCGGCAGGCUGUAAUCCUGUAGCCACAUGGUUUGUAGGUGCAAUUCCUACCGCAUCCACCA